UACAGGGGGGGCAAGCGUUGUUCGGAAUUACUGGGCGUAAAGGGCUCGUAGGCGGCCAACUAAGUCACACGUGAAAUCCCCAGGCUUAACCUGGGAACUGCGUGUGAUACUGGAUGGCUUGAAUUCGGGAGAGGGAUGCAGAAUUCCAGGUGUAGCGGUGAAAUGCGUAGAUAUGUGGAGGAACACCGAUGGCGAAGGCAGCCCCCUGGGUCAAGAUUGACGCUCAUGCACGAAAGCGU
rnacentral:rRNA from 1 species